rnacentral:rRNA from 1 species
UACGGAGGGUCCAAGCGUUAUCCGGAAUCAUUGGGUUUAAAGGGUCCGUAGGCGGUUUUGUAAGUCCGUGGUGAAAGCCCAUCGCUCAACGGUGGAACGGCCAUUGAUACUGCAAGACUUGAAUUAUUGGGAAGUAACUAGAAUAUGUAGUGUAGCGGUGAAAUGCUUAGAGAUUACAUGGAAUACCAAUUGCGAAGGCAGGUUACUACCAAUAUAUUGACGCUGAUGGACGAAAGCGUGGGGAGCAAACAGG